AUUGAACGCUGGCGGCAGGCUUAACACAUGCAAGUCGAGCGAGCGGCGGACGGGUGAGUAAUGUCUGGGAAACUGCCUGAUGGAGGGGGAUAACUACUGGAAACGGUAGCUAAUACCGCAUACCAUCAGAUGUGCCCAUGUGGGAUUAGCUAGUAGGGGGGGAAAGGGCUCACCUAGGCGACGAUCCCUAGCUGGUCUGAGAGGAUGACCAGCCACACGGUAACGGCGACACGGUCCAGACUCCUACGGGAGGAAGCAGUGGGGAAUAUUGCACAAUGGGAGCAAGCCUGAUGCAGCAAUGCCGCGUGUGUGAAGAAGGCCUUCGGGUUGUAAAGCACUUUCAGCGAGGAGGCGUUACUCGCAGAAGAAGCACCGGCUAACUCCGUGCCAGCAGCCGCGGUAAUUC
rnacentral:rRNA from 1 species